rnacentral:rRNA from 1 species
CCUACGGGAGGCAGCAGUAGGGAAUCUUCGGCAAUGGACGCAAGUCUGACCGAGCAAUGCCGCGUGAGUGAGGAAGGCCCUCGGGUCGUAAAGCUCUGUUAUCAGGGAAGAACGCUUGGGAGAGUAACUGCUCUCAAGGUGACGGUACCUGAGAAGAAAGCCCCGGCUAACUACGUGCCAGCAGCCGCGGUAAU